AUGACCCAGGCUCCAGCUGUCCUGUCUGUAAAUCCAGGGGAAAGAGUCACCAUCAACUUCAGUGACAAUGAACUGCAGAGCCAGCCAGGACAUUGGGAAAAGCUUAUAUGUGACAUUGUGCUGACUCAGUCUCCAGCCCCCUUGUCUGUGAUUCCAGGAGAAAGAGUCACCAUGACCUGCAAGGCCAGCCAGGGUAUUUACACAAGCUUACACUGGUAUCAGCAAAAACCAAAUGAGGCUCCAAGGCUUCUUAUCAAGUUUGCUUCUGGGUCUGUCUCUGGGAUCCCCUCCAGGUUCAGCGGCAGUGGAUCAGGGACAGAUUUCAUGCUCAGCAUCAACAAUGUGGAGCCUGAAGAUGUUGCAAGUUAUUACUGUCAGCAGAAUAGCAGCUGGCCUCCCACCGUGAUAGAGAUCUAG